AGUCCCUGGCAGUGAGCUGAGGCUGUUAAGAAUUGGCGAUUGUGGGGGUAGACCUUGGCAAGGGAAGUCCGCCAUCGUUCUGGGAUCGCCGGGUUCUCAAGGGUGCCCAAGAGAUGUUGGGAGAGGAAGGAUAGUUUGGGGAGAAGCAAAGGAAGUGGUGGUGGAGGAAGAAGCGAAUGCGCAGGCUGAAGCGCAAGAGAAGAAAGAUGAGGCAGAGGUCCAAGUAAACUUUCACACCCAUGGAAGCCACAGGAGCAGAAACAAGGGAAGCCCGAGGCCAGGGACGCUGGUACAAAUUGUUGGACUGCUUGCCUACUGUCUAGAACUUGUCUCAGUGCAUCUGGAACAUCGAUGGCCAUUCUGAUCUCCUCAACCACCUUUGAGAGGCCCACUUUGCUCGUAUCAAAACGGUCCCUUUUGGUCCUUUGCCCUGGACCUUUGACAUACUGGACUAGUUCUAUUCUCAGUUGUGGCUGAAUGUAACAUGUAACAAUAAAUAAUCUCUUUUGCUGUCUUAGCUGAAGAAAAAAAUUA